AUUCAAGAGCAGUUUGCUGCAGGAGGUGCUCCCACACAUUAGUUUCCAAGUGAAACAGCUAUAAAGGAAGUAGGAUGGAUACUGAAGAUUUGUGCGACCUAAGAAUGAAGGUUGCCGCUGGUGCCACAUUAAAGAGAACAAUUCCCGAGGAAAAAAAGAAGUUGGGAGAACCUCGUUAACAAGGCAGCACUCCUCUUCUACCAUCCCUCUCCAGGAAUCGCAGGAUUGUUGUUCUGAGAAUGAGCGUGCACAGUAGUGCACUGUUAACAGUGUUUUGCACGUAGCAGGUGCUUAAUAAAUGUUUGACGAAUGAA
rnacentral:lncRNA from 1 species